rnacentral:lncRNA from 1 species
CUGUAAAAGCAUGAAGGGGAAAGUCAGUCACCAGGCCGGACAGCACGGACGCAUCUUCCUCACUCAGCCCAGACCCUCGGCCCCAGUGAGGCCAGCUCCACGUGCCAUUCCCGCCGGGCCAGGGAGGAGCAUGCCAGAGUCAGGGUCUGAGGCAGAGUCCACCCAAGUGGCAAAAAUUCUCCUAACCGGCGGCCCGAGUUGCUCAAGCACCUAAAGAACUCUGGUCAGGCUGGAGGCAGGCGCUCCACCCCCUGCGCACAGUGAGGGCACAGGGCCAUUCUGUUUUGUUUCUUUUGGGCAGAAGGGACAAACGUCAGGGAGAGGGCUGCAGCGGGCAGCAGCAGAGGACUGAAGCUGGCUUGCACUGCAGUUUUUAACCCUUUCCAGCUUGGGCACUCUGGGGACUGGCCAGUGGGUGGCAGGCAGCCCUUGCUGCAUGCGGGGUUUGGGGGUGGGGAGGAGAUGCGGGGACUGGCUUCUCCUGCACUGGUGUGCUGGGCAUCAGCCAGGCAUAGUGAUCCUAUGGGGCAGGAGCGGGGCUGGGGGGUUGGGGAGGCUGAAUCCCAACAUUUAGCUUUAGCAGCCAAAAGACACAUUUUCCCUGGUUUUUGUUGAUGCUGUGAAGAAGGCACCACCAUCCCGGGACCAUGGUGGGUCUGUUCCCCUUCCUUUCACAAUCAGGGAAAGGGGCUCCAAGUCUAUAGCAUGUUCUAGUCUCGAGUCUGA